AUUGAACGCUGGCGGCAUGCCUUACACAUGCAAGUCGAACGGCAGCGCGGGGCAACCUGGCGGCGAGUGGCGAACGGGUGAGUAAUAUAUCGGAACGUACCCUGGAGUGGGGGAUAACGUAGCGAAAGUUACGCUAAUACCGCAUACGAUCUAAGGAUGAAAGUGGGGGAUUCGCAAGAACCUCAUGCUCCUGGAGCGGCCGAUAUCUGAUUAGCUAGUUGGUAGGGUAAAAGCCUACCAAGGCAUCGAUCAGUAGCUGGUCUGAGAGGACGACCAGCCACACUGGAACUGAGACACGGUCCAGACUCCUACGGGAGGCAGCAGUGGGGAAUUUUGGACAAUGGGCGCAAGCCUGAUCCAGCAAUGCCGCGUGAGUGAAGAAGGCCUUCGGGUUGUAAAGCUCUUUUGUCAGGGAAGAAACGGWUCUUUCUAAUACAGAGAKCUAAUGACGGUACCUGAAGAAUAAGCACCGGCUAACUACGUGCCAGCAGCCGCGGUAAUACGUAGGGUGCAAGCGUUAAUCGGAAUUACUGGGCGUAAAGCGUGCGCAGGCGGUUUUGUAAGUCUGUUGUGAAAUCCCCGGGCUCAACCUGGGAAUGGCAAUGGAGACUGCAAGGCUAGAGUUUGGCAGAGGGGGGUAGAAUUCCACGUGUAGCAGUGAAAUGCGUAGAUAUGUGGAGGAACACCGAUGGCGAAGGCAGCCCCCUGGGUCAAAACUGACGCUCAUGCACGAAAGCGUGGGGAGCAAACAGGAUUAGAUACCCUGGUAGUCC
rnacentral:rRNA from 1 species